CAUCUACUCCCUCUGUUUCAAAAAAAUUAUCUUAGAUUUGUCUAAAUACGAAUGUAUCAAGUCAUAUUUUAGUAUUAGAUACAUCCGUAUCUAUACAAAUGUAAGACAAGAAUAUUGGGACGGAAGUAGUAUAUA
rfam:Triticum aestivum genome assembly, contig: Triticum_aestivum_CS42_TGACv1_scaffold_556613_7AL